ACAGCAGUCGCCGCGGUAAGACAGAGGAUGCAAGCGUUAUCCGGAAUGAUUGGGCGUAAAGGGCUCGCAGGCGGUUUCUUAAGUCUGAUGUGAAAGCCCCCGGCUCAACCGGGGAGGGUCAUUGGAAACUGGGAAACUUGAGUGCAGAAGAGGAGAGUGGAAUUCCACGUGUAGCGGUGAAAUGCGUAGAGAUGUGGAGGAACACCAGUGGCGAAGGCGACUCUCUGGUCUGUAACUGACGCUGAGGAGCGAAAGCGUGGGGAGCGAACAGGAUUAGAUACCCCAGUAGUCCCUGUCUCUUAUAA
rnacentral:rRNA from 1 species